AUGGCGUCACCAGCCCCCAUCAGCCUGCCUUUGCGCUCGCCCAGCCCUCCACCCGGCCCGACGGCCUCCUCCGCCGUGUCUCCUGACUUGUCGCCGCCCGUCAUCAUUCACCGGCCGCCGUCGCCAAGUAACAUGCACACGAUGCUCACACGUGCCAAACGUGGGCUCUUCCAACCCACCGAUCGGCUAAACCUCACAGCAUCACACUCCACUCCCUCUCUCAUUCCCAAAACAUACCGGAGUGCUCUCUAUGACCCUCAUUGGCGUCGUGCCAUGCUCGAGGAAUUUGAUGCUCUUGUUGCUAACGGAACUUGGUCACUUGUUCCUUGA
rnacentral:rRNA from 1 species